rnacentral:rRNA from 1 species
GAUGAACGCUGGCGGCGUGCCUAAUACAUGCAAGUCGAGCGAACAGACGAGGAGCUUGCUCCUCUGACGUUAGCGGCGGACGGGUGAGUAACACGUGGAUAACCUACCUAUAAGACUGGGAUAACUUCGGGAAACCGGAGCUAAUACCGGAUAAUAUAUUGAACCGCAUGGUUCAAUAGUGAAAGACGGUUUUGCUGUCACUUAUAGAUGGAUCCGCGCCGCAUUAGCUAGUUGGUAAGGUAACGGCUUACCAAGGCAACGAUGCGUAGCCGACCUGAGAGUGUGAUCGGCCACACUGGAACUGAGACUCGGUCCAGACUCCUACGGGAGGCAGCAGUAGGGAAUCUUCCGCAUUGGGCGAAAGCCUGACGGAGCAACGCCGCGUGAGUGAUGAAGGUCUUCGGAUCGUAAAACUCUGUUAUUAGGGAAGAACAAAUGUGUAAGUAACUAUGCACGUCUUGACGGUACCUAAUCAGAAAGCCACGGCUAACUACGUG